UACGUAGGGGGCAAGCGUUGUCCGGAUUUAUUGGGCGUAAAGAGCUCGUAGGCGGUCUGUCGCGUCGGCUGUGAAAACUCGGGGCUCAACCCCGAGCCUGCAGUCGAUACGGGCAGACUAGAGUGCUGUAGGGGAGACUGGAAUUCCUGGUGUAGCGGUGAAAUGCGCAGAUAUCAGGAGGAACACCGGUGGCGAAGGCGGGUCUCUGGGCAGUAACUGACGCUGGAGGAGCGAAAGCCGUUGGGGAGCGAACAGG
rnacentral:rRNA from 1 species